rnacentral:rRNA from 1 species
UACAGAGGGUGCGAGCGUUAAUCGGAAUUACUGGGCGUAAAGCGCGCGUAGGCGGCUUUGCAAGUCGGGUGUGAAAUCCCCAGGCUUAACCUGGGAACUGCAUUCGAGACUGCAUUGCUAGAGUACGGCAGAGGGGGAUGGAAUUCCGCGUGUAGCAGUGAAAUGCGUAGAUAUGCGGAGGAACACCGAUGGCGAAGGCAAUCCCCUGGGCCUGUACUGACGCUCAUGCACGAAAGCGUGGGGAGCAAACAGG